ACCAUCGUACUGAGCUAUCAGUCGACGGGGAACGGCCGCUCUGCGCGCGCAGUCUUAUCAGUCGCUUCGCGCGCUGCCGGGACGGGUUUUCAAAAUGCGCGGUCCAUGAAAGCCGCGCGGAAGAGCUCACGGUUCGUGAGAAAAAUCGGGAAGUUUUCCAGACGGUGUGAACUGAUAAAUACGAUGGGGAACAUAAUGGGGAAUGAUAAAUAAGUACGCGACGGAGAAGAAAGAGACGCAACGCUGAGAUCUCCGCAACGCCGGAUAUUCAAUUAGCGGAAAGAGGCCUCAGCUUCUCUGCCCGCCAGCCGCUGUCUGUAGCCGCCCUCAUUGGAAGAACACUUCGAUGAUGUUUUUGCAGAUGUGUUCCCGUGUCGCAGCCAGCGACAGAAAUUGUCCCGCUGACCCGUCUACGCUUCGAAUAAAAUUACGGCCGUUGCGUGCACGGCAGAACGAUAUUUAGCCCGGUCUGUUUGCCACCGAUGUCUCACCAAUGUCAUGUCACUAUCGAUUUUGCAAUUAUCUUACAGUACAGUCUAGUCGUGUUCAUGUAUCGGUGUGCUUGUGUCCCCCGUAAUAGUUCCUAGUCUAAUAAUAUCCGAACGAACGAUCUAUCGUGAAUGUCUCGCGUGUCAUGACUUUCGACGCGACUUUCGCAUGGAACCUGUAUCGCAUUCGCGGACACCAUCAUAUGGGACACCAUCGUUGCUUACUAUUUUUUACUAUUUUUGCGGCCCUCAUUUUAGUGACAAUGUGGAACGAAGCAUAAAACGGCUUGGUCUUUCAAAAUAAAGCUUUUAUUAGAUCUGA